UACGAAGGGGGCGAGCGUUGUUCGGAUUUACUGGGCGUAAAGGGCGCGCAGGCGGCCAUUCAAGUCAGGCGUGAAAGCCCCGGGCUUAACCUGGGAGGUGCGCUUGGGACUGGGUGGCUAGAGAUCGGGAGAGGAGAGUGGAAUUCCGGAGUGUAGAGGUGAAAUUCGUAGAUAUUCGGAAGAACACCAGUGGCGAAGGCGACUUACUGGACACAUAUUGACGCUGAGGUGCGAAAGCGUGGGGAGCAAACAGG
rnacentral:rRNA from 1 species